AAGUCCAAUAUAUUCAGAAUUCGAAUCCGAUGGGGGCCAUGGGGCGUGGGUGCGCGGUGCACGGCGACCUUGCCAUCGCAAGGCCUGCAAGGAGCCUGCUAUCGAUCCUUCGAUCUCUGAGGUGUUCUGCACAAGUGAAUGCAACUAUGGACAAAACUGGAACCUAGCUAAGAUUACACAUGAGACGGAUGACAAAUUGACAACUGCUCCUACAUUGCGUAAGAAGGCUGAAGUUGAUGGACCGUGGACCACUGUUGAUAUUGUUAGUAACAUCAGGCAUGUCGACCACACAUCUGUUGGUCAUGGUGCUGUUGCUGCUAUUGCAUUUCUGCGGGUGUCCAAACUCUAUGUUUGCAGUAUUUCUAUCUAUGUUUGGGAGUGUGAAGGAUGAUGCGUUGAACACCAUGGAGGCAAUGUCCAUCCCAGCUGGAAUAUCAAGUGGGAUUGCUGAGAGGAUACCUGUGGUCUGAUGCUCCGUGGCUGGUGAGGGGAGCGCUACAGAUGCAUCUGGUCUGCUGUUGUUGUCAAUCAUGCUGAGAGGGUUGUGGCACGAAGGAACUAUUGAAGGCAAGUAGCUGCUUCCGGUGAACUGAAUGGUAGAGGAGAUAACAUCGGUCAUUACUGAUGAUGUGUUAUCUGAGAUAUGCAGACUUCUCUGUGUGGUCUGUGAGACAGGAGCAGUGUAGGCUUCAUUUUUGCCGGACAAGGGAGGAGAUACCCAUGAGUGUGAGAGUGCUCUCUGUGCCGUGGAAUUGGUUUUCUUGAAAAUCCUACAGAUUGCCCAGGAAUCCUGCUCAUGAAUGUCAGUUUCUUACAUUUGGUGGAAUGGUUUUCUCGAGUGGCUUCUUCUGUGGCAAUGAAGGGUCAGUGAGCGAUGGCAG